rnacentral:lncRNA from 1 species
AAGAAUAAAGAUUAGAUGUUACCAAUGGGCCUUUGGUCCAAUGGGAGAAGCCUUGCACUUACAAUGUUGAGUGCAAGGGUUCGAGCCUCCAUAAGAGCAUUAUGGAGGUUAGUUUCAGUUCUUCCUCAAUUAUCAAUUAAUUGAGUGGAGACAGUCUCUCCCUUACGAAAUGUGAGUGGAGCAGGCACCCCUCGAAUAUUAGAGAGGGUUUAAAAUAUCUGGGCAUAUACUUCAGUGUGUCAAUGUAUGAUGGUGGUCCCAGUUAUAUAGUAUGAUUGUAAAUAUUAAUUGUAAUGUCUGAUGUAAUGUCAGUAAUAUCUGUGUAUAACAGACUUCAAAAAAAAAAGAAUAAAGAUUAGAUGUUUGAAAAAUUUUAAAAUUAAA